GGGCCUGCUCAGUGAGAAGAAAAUUUAACAGCUGCGGUAUUAUAACUGUACUAAGGUAGCAUAAUAAUUUGCCUUAUAAAUUGAGGCUAGAAUGAAUGGUUUGACGAAAAUUAGACUGUCUUUGUUUUAUUUAUUAGAAAUUAAUUUUUAUAGUGAAAAAGCUUAAAUAAUUUAAAGGGACGAGAAGACCCUAUUGAGCUUGAAUUUAUUGGUGUUUAAAUAUAAAGAUGGGUUGUUUUAUUUAUAAGAUGGUUUGUUUUAUCUUAAUUAUAUUUAAUUAAGCUAAUUUUGAUUGGGGUGAUCAAGGAAUAAGAAGGUAUAAUAACUUCCUUAGUUUUAAAAAAUUUAUGGAUUAAUAAACCAAAAUUUUUGCUUAUAAGAUAAGUUACCAUAGGGGUAACAGCGUAAUUUUUUUUGAGAGUUCAUAUUG
rnacentral:rRNA from 1 species